rnacentral:rRNA from 1 species
CCUACGGGGGGCUGCAGUGGGGAAUAUUGGACAAUGGGGGGAACCCUGAUCCAGCCAUGCCGCGUGUGUGAAGAAGGCCCUCGGGUUGUAAAGCACUUUCAGUGAGGAAGAACGCCUGGUGGUUAAUACCCAUCAGGAAAGACAUCACUCACAGAAGAAGCACCGGCUAACUCCGUGCCAGCAGCCGCGGUAAUACGGAGGGUGCGAGCGUUAAUCGGAAUUACUGGGCGUAAAGCGCGCGUAGGUGGCUUGAUAAGCCGGUUGUGAAAGCCCCGGGCUCAACCUGGGAACGGCAUCCGGAACUGUCAAGCUAGAGUGCAGGAGAGGAAGGUAGAAUUCCCGGUGUAGCGGUGAAAUGCGUAGAGAUCGGGAGGAAUACCAGUGGCGAAGGCGGCUUUCUGGACUGACACUGACACUGAGGUGCGAAAGCGUGGGUAGCAAACAGGAUUAGAUAUCCGAGUAGUC